rnacentral:lncRNA from 1 species
CAGGCACAUACUUUAAAUUUUCUGCCUUUGGGAUUAUCUUUUCUCCCUGUUUCUGAGCUUUGUCAUUUUGUGUAUAUCCAGUUUAGCGUUUGACCAAGUCUGUCACCCACUAACCAUUUGGAUAUAUAGUGUUCAGAAAGACUAGAUUAAAAGUCUAGGCACCAAGCAACUAUUUUUGUUGCCAGAUUUUUAAAUUUUCUGGAUUGUUGAGCAGUAAAGAUGAAGGCACUUUCCAAGAGUUUUCUAGCUUUCUAAUAUGUGACCCUGAGAAGGCAUAAAAGGUCAGAUAAGAUACACUUUCACAUACUGUAGAGGACUUUAAUUUCCCCCUCCCCAAUUAAUCCUGUUCCUCAGAAUAUUUAGUAUUGGCAGUUCAUAACUUUUAAAUUCUAAUCUAUCAUAAUAGAAAGCCAAGAAGUACCAAAAUUAAAUAUGUCUACCUAAAGAUACAGGGAUAGUAAAAAUCAAUGAAUAUAGUAUUUUCUAUUUGAUGAGAAUCUUUUUUUUUAAGAUUUUAUUUGUUUAUUCAUGAGAGAGAGAGGCAGAGACAUAGGCAGAGGGAGAAGCAGGCUCUCUGCAGGAGCUCAAUGUGGGACUCGAUCCUGGGACCCCAGGAUCAUGCCCCGGGUCAAAGGCAGAUGUUCAACCGCUGAGCCACUCAAGGCAUUCUUAUUUGAUGAGAAUCUUGAUUCAGUCUUGUAAUGAGAGAUAUCUAUCAAAGCCAUUUUAAAUAUAGAUAGAUAAAUAGAUGGAUAGGCUUUUCUCUCCAUUGAAUUUCAUUUUUAUUGAUGAAAUUUUAAAUAUAUAUUCUAAUUUUAUAGUUUUUAUUUAACAUAAUUUCUCACAUGUAUGAAAGAUUUUCUAAUUCUCAUUAUAAAAAGUUAUAUAGCUUGUACACUACUGCUGAGAGCUUGAAAAUAAAAUUAGAUUCUCUGCGAGGGUAUUUAAUUUCUCCAAUGUUAUCAUGUAAAUGAAUGUAUUCUUUUCAAGCUUUGUCUAUCAUACUCUCUUUAUUGAUGGAAUCACUUACCUAUGUGCUACAGACAAUGCCUUGGAUACCAUAACACCAUCUGCAUUUCUUACAAAUAUGAAAUACAAUAAAAAUCAAGAUGGUAGCUCAAUAUCUACAUUGAAGAGUCAAGUAACUGAUGUAAAAAAUAUUAUGUCCCAAAAUAUUGAUGAAAUUUUGGAAAGCGAAAAAAGAUUGAAUAUCUACACUGAUAGAACCAGUUAUCUCCAAACAACUGUAAGUGAUGCUCUCGUCUUGGUAUCUAAAUAGUGUUCUAAGCCUUGAGACAAAUGGCUAAAAGCAAAUGCAUUCCAGGGAUACCGUGAGAUAAUCCUAUGUCGCCAAACUAUGGCUUUAUCAAAAAAUUAUUAGAAUGCAACUAAAGUAUUUUUUUAAUUAUAAAACAAUGAAAAUUUUAAAACCCAUUAAAGUAGUAGGUGGCUAUUUGCAUAACAUAUAUUUCUUACAUUAAUAAAUACACAGGUUAAUCAACAAAUAAAUUUCAAGGACCAAAAAAAAGAGGGAGAACUAACCAAAAAAUGGGUUGAGAAAGUUACCAACUGCAAUGUGUGGGCCUUAUUUGGAAUUUAAUUCAAACAAAUUAUAAAAAUGAAAAUUUAUAACUUCGUGAGAUAAUUAGAUGUUUGAACUCUGACUAGAUAUUAGAUGACAUUAAGGAAUAUUACUAGUUUUUAACUGUGAUAAUGGUAUUGUGGUUAUGCUUUAAAAAGAGUCAUUACUGGGGAUCCCUGGGUGGCGCAGCGGUUUAGCGCCUGACUUUGGCCCAGGACGCAAUCCUGGAGACCCGGCAUCGAAUCCCACAUCGGGCUCCCAGUAUGUCUGCCUAUGUCUCUGCCUCUCUCUCUCUGUGUGUGUGACUAUCAUAAAUAAAUAAAAAUUUAAAAAAUAAAAAAAUAAGAAAAAGUCAUUACUUAUUAGAGAUACAUAUUAAAAUAUUUUGAGUCAAUUUAUAUGAUGUCUGAGAUUAGCUUCAGAACAAUUCAGGAAUAGAAUGGGGUAUAAAUGAAACAAAAUUGGCCAUAAAUUGAUAACUGUUAAAACUGGAUGUUGAAGGUGCCUGGGUGGAUCAGUUGGUUGAGCGUCUGCCUUCAGCUCAGGUCAUGAUCCAGGAGUCCUGGGACUGAGCCCUGUGUCAGGCUGUCUACUCAACAGGGAAUCUGUUCCUCCUUCUCCCUCUGUCCCCCCACCCAGCUCAUGCACUCUCUCUCUCUCAAACAAAUAAAUAAAAUAUUCAAAAACCCAGAUAUUGGGCAGCCCCGGUGUCUCAGAGGUUUAGUGCCGCCUUCAGCCCAGGGCAUGAUCCUGGAGACCCAGGAUGGAGUCCCACAUCAGGCUCUCUGCAUGGAGCCUGCUCCUCCCUCUGCCUGUGUCUGUUCCUCUGUGUGUGUGUGUGUCUCGUGAAUAAAUAAAUAAAAUCUUAAAAAAUAAAAAAUAAUAAAUAAUAACCCAGAUAUUUGGGCACCCGGGUGCUAGGUGGUUGAGCAUCUGCCUUUGGCUCAGGUCAUGAUCCCAGGGUCCUGGGAUCAGGUCCCAAAUCAGGCUCCCAGUAGGGAGCCUGCUUCUUUCUCUGCCUGUGUCUCUGCCUCUCUGUGUGUCUCAUGAAUAAAUAAAUAAAAUCUUUUUUUUUUUAAAUGGAUAUUGAAUAUAUAAGGGGUUCAUUAUCCCAUUCUGUCAACUUCUGUAUAUAUUCAAAAUUCUCUCAAUCAGUAAUAGUUAAUUACCUUAGGGUAUUUUAAAUUUUAUUUUUUACAGAUUUUUUUUCUAGAAUACCUUCUAGUUCCAUCCACAUCACUGCCAAUGGCAAGAUUUCCAAUUUUUGAUGGCUGCGUAGUAUUCCACUGUGUGUGUGUGUGUGUGUGUGUGUGUGUGUGUGUGUGUGUGUGUAUCUAUCCAUUCAUCUGUCAACAAACAUCUGGGCUCUCUCCAUAGUUUGGGUAUUAUGAACAUUGCUGCUAUAAACAUUGGGGUGCAGGUGCCCCUUUGGAUCACUACGUUUGUAUCUUUGGGUUAAAUACCCAGUAGUGCAAUUGUUGGGUCAUAGGGUAGCUCUAUUUUCAACUUUUUCAGGAACCUCCAUACUGUUUUCCAGAAUGGUGGCACCAGCUUGCAUUCCCACCAACAGUGUAGGAGACUUCCCCCUUCUCCACACCCUCACCAACAUCUGUCGUUUCCUGACUUGCUCACUUUUGCCAUUCUGACUGGUGUGAGGUGGUAUCUCAGUGUAGUUUUGGUUUAUAUUUCCCUGAGUGAUGUUGAGCGCUAAAAAAAUGUGUGUGUCUAUUGGACAUUUGUAUGUCUUCUUUGGAGAAAUGUCUGUUCAUGUCUUCUGCCCAUUUCUUGAUUGGAUUAUUUUUUCUUUCCAUGUUGAGUUUUAUAAAUUCUUUAUAGAUCUUGGAUACUAGCCCUUUAUCUGAUCUGUCAUUUGCAAAUAUCUUCUCCCAUUUUGUUGGUUGUCUUUUGGUUUUGUCGACUGUUUCCUUUGCUGUGCAAAAGCUUUUUAUCUUGAUGAAGUCCCAAUAAUUUAUUUCUGCCUUUUGUUCCCUUGCCUUUGUAGACAUACCUAGCAAGAAGUUGAUGCAGCCGAGGUCACAGAGGUUGCUGCCUGUGGUCUCCUCUAGGAUUUUGAUGGAUUCCUGUCUCACAUUUAGAUCUUUCAUUAUUUUUUAAUGUAUUUUUGUGUAUGAUGUAAGGAAAUGAUCUAGUUUCAUUCUUCUUCAUGUGGCUAUCCAAUUUUGCCAACACUAUUUGUUGAAGAAACUGUUUUUUUUCCCCCAUUGGAUAUUCUUUCCUGUUUUGUCAAAGAUAAGUUGACCAUAGAGUUGGGGAUCCAUUUCUGGGUUCCCUUUUCUGUUGCUUUGAUCUAUGUGUCUAUUUUUGUGCCAGUACCAUACUGUCUUGAUGAUUACAGCUUUGUAAUAGAGCUUGAAGUCCAGUUUUGGUUUUUUCAACAUUCCUUUGGCUAUUCAGGGUCUUUUCUGGUUCCAUACAAAUUUUAGGAUUAUUUGGGGUGUCUGGGUGGCUCAGCGGUUGAGCGGCUGCCUUUCACUCAGGUAGUGAUCUCAGGGCUCUGGGAUCGAGUCCCACAUCGGGCUCCCCACAGGGAGCCUGCUUCUCCUUCUGCCUGUGUCUCUGCCUCUCUUUGUGUCUUUC